AGUGCAGUGGCGCGAUCUGCGCUCACUGCAACCUCCGCUGGGAACUUAGCGCUGGGGAGCAUCUAGGGAGUGGUAAAGGGCUCAUUUUGCCCUAGGGUGCUAAUCGUUGGUGGUAGAGCGCUUUGCAAUUUGCGGAGUUUUCUCAUAAGUAAUAAUAAAUAUUUGGGGGAAGCAGCUGGGCAAGGAGCGCGAAUUCUAAGAGCAGACUGCAGGAGUGCUUAAUCCCUGCUUUGCCACGUACUGGCUGUGUGACGUCCGGCCACUUGCUUAAAUUCUCUGCCUCAGUGUGUAUCUGUAGAAUGGAGAUAAUAGCACCUACCAUAGAGAAUUAUUACAAAGUACCAAUAUUUGGAAAAAGUACCUAGAAGUGGUUGGUACAUAGCAAGCACUAGAUGAACUUUUGUUAAAUUAAACGUCACAGUGCAAUCAAUACAUUACAUACCACAAGAUAGGCAAAAAUUUUAAGUGUAACAAUAACAGAUAUUGGUCGACUUAUAGAGCCACAAAACCUC
rnacentral:lncRNA from 1 species